CACGCAGUAAACGAUGAUUACUAGCUGUUUGCGAUAUACUGUAAGUGGCUAAGCGAAAGCGAUAAGUAAUCCACCUGGGGAGUACGUUCGCAAGAAUGAAACUCAAAGGAAUUGACGGGG
rnacentral:rRNA from 1 species